CGGUUCUCAGCACUUCCUAAUGCUCCGUGGUUUCUUCUCUUCUGACAUGGUGUUUGCUUUCCAGAUUACUUGCUUCCAUAAUGCGCUAAUGCUGCCUGGUUUUGAGGAGCCGCACAGGCUCUCAGGACUUGGCGGGGCCUCCUGGUGCAGAGCCUGCAUCUGGCUGUGGCCCACCUGUUCUCCCGCCUGUUUCCCGGAUGCCCCACUCACGAGGGGAGGGGUUCUUCUCUGCCCCCCCCCCCCAGGGGGCGGGAGGCAGCCAGCGGGCCAGAAGCUGCACAGCUGGGACUCAUUCAGGGCAAGCCUGGGGCGGGCAGGCCCAGCCCAAAGUGGAACCACGUUCUCUGUCAAGUGCCGGCCAAACCCAUCUGCCCCACACCUUCUUCACACGAACUGUUCUCCUGGUUUCUUUGGAAAGUAAUUUUACACCAGCCCAUCCAAGCUGAGGCAAGGAGUUGAAAGUUUAGCACAGGCCCAUGGGGAAACAGGAACAAAAAUGAAACGGCCCAAGAUACUCUCCUUUUUACCCAUUCCAACACUGAUUGCAUGGCCUCCGGCCGUGCCUCAGAGCACACAGUAGAACAGCUGGAAUUGAUCAGUGGGCCCCAUAUUAACCCAUUGGUUCCAGGAGGUGGGAUUUCCUGAACCCAAAGCACUAAUUUUUGCACGUUUUUUGGUCUUUCCUUUCUGACUUUUAGGGAAGCAGGGAGCGUGUGUGGGCAAACAGGCCAAACGGAGCGGCAGCACACUGUUCCUCCAUUAGCUUCACGCAGCAAACUGAGAAGCCCAGAGAGAAAGGAAAACACAUUCUGGACGGCCUUUGUUUAUUGUUCCUCGCAGAGCAGCUCGGAGCUUACCCAGAGGAGCCUGCUGGGAGUGAGAUCGUCAGCAGACCUUAAGCUUCAGCGAGGUGGAAGGCAAUCCCCAUGGCGACCACUCAGUCGGCGUCCCCCUGGGCUGCGCAGGUGCAGCACCUGUAGUAGGCGUGGCCACAUGAGCCCGUGAGUAAGGACCCUUCAUCCCGUGCCAGCCACCGGAUAGGAGCCAGGCCAUGCUCACUGGGCCAGUCACCGGUGUCUCUCAGAAGUUGCCCCACCUGGUACCUCUCGUGCCGACUACCUGGUACCACUGUCUGAACUCCGAGGGGACAGUUCCCCGGCAUUGGCUACCCAGGACGGUGAUGAAUUCCAAAGAUGAAUUUCACUAUAUUGAACAUGGCCCAUUGCAUUUAAAAUUAAAGAGCUCAGAAGAAACCACCACUCGCUGAUGGUAGUCUGAAACAACCUUGAUGUUCCUUCUCUGGUGCGGAAAGAGCAAGUACUUGCAGUGCGAUGCAUUUGCUCGGUAGAAAUAAGGUGGGGAUUUUUCUUCGGGUCAGAUGCCAUAUUACUGUAUUCGCUUUUCCAUUGUUUGCGUUUGAAUCAUUACCUUGAUCUGUGACUCGCUCUUCUCCCGUUGACCUUCCUAGUCACUGCUGUUACGCAAGGCCUGUUUUGAUGCCUCUGGCCCUUACUCUGGAUCAGAGGUCAAGGAAGGCCUGUGAAAACAAAUCCCCAGACCCUCUCUCUGGGCCCUAGCUUUCUGCUACCCACUCUCGGCUAGGAAUGGGGAACGGUUGUGGGGUUGGGGGUUUGGGCUCCCACAGCUGCUUAGGCCUUUACUCUGUGCCCCGUGUGGCCUCAGAACCUCCCACACACUCAGAUAAACAUCCAAGAACCAGUGUCAGAGCCCCACUGUUAACAGAAAAUUAAGAUGGCCAAGAGCAAAUGCAACUUUUCUCUUCAAAAAAGCAUGAGCAUGCAUCUCUGCUAAUAGAUGCAAAGA